rnacentral:rRNA from 1 species
GACGAACGCUGGCGGCGUGCUUAACACAUGCAAGUCGAACGGAAAGGCCCUGCGUUUGUGGGGUGCUCGAGUGGCGAACGGGGGAGUAACAGGUGAGUAACCUGCCCUUGACUUUGGGAUAACUUCAGGAAACUGGGGCUAAUACCGGAUAGCAGCUGCUGCUGCAUGGUGGGGGUUGGAACGUUUCGGCGGUUGUGGCUGGACUCGCGGCUUAUGAGCUUGUUGGUGGGGUAGUGGCUUACCAAGGGAUUGACGGAUAGCCGGCACGGGAGGGUGGCCGGGGUCCAUGGGCCUACGAUACGGACCAGAGUGCUACGGGAGGCAGCAGUGGGAAAUAUGGCACAGUGGGACGAAGCCUGAUGAGGAGACGCCGCGUGCGGGAUGACGGCCUUCGGGUUGUGAACCGCUUUCGCCUGUGACGAAGCGUUAGUGACGGUACUGGGUAAAGAAGCACCGGCUAACUACGUG